CUCCAGUCGCAGCAUUGUAGCCUCUCUCCACUGGAGAGAAUGAAGACAACUGAACUAUGACUGUCAAAUGUUUUGGACUGAGGAGAAGCACAUGCUGAGGUGGACUACUGUCCUGAAGGCUCUGGCUUCUGACCAUUUAGAAGAAAAUGCAACUCCGAUAUCUUCGCGCGCUUAUUGCUUGACUGAGAGAAACAGCACUUGGAGAAAUACCAAGAACUGCAG